rnacentral:lncRNA from 1 species
AAAGAAACCACAGAUUGACAUCCAUUUCAUUUUUGUAUGAAGGAGAGGAAGCACGAAAGCCAACAAGUUUUAGUUCAUAAGAUACACAAGUUCUAAACAUAGCCGCUGGAAUCAUAACCCAUCCACCAGAUUUGGCCCGGCAUAUGAUCAUUAAGAUCUGGGAUUUCUAACUCACAAACGAAGGACAAGAUUUGGUAAUUUAAAAGAAGAAAAACACAAACUUACAGUAACGACGCUUUCUUUCGGUGAAAGUGAUGACAAUCAGGAGAGUUAGCAACUCCAAUGGAUCCUUUGCUGAUUCUUCUUCCUUGGUCAAGCCGUAAUCCUCGGUUUCUCUCCCGUUUUUCUCAGUUCGUUUCUUCCUUUUGCUACCGUCUUCAGCUGCCAACAGUUCCUUCCUCUAAUCUCUCUCGGUCGUUCUUCCUAUCUUUCUCACUUUGUCCGACAGAUAUUCUCUCCCCUCUCUCUAAUCUCUCAACCGUCAAAAACCUCUCCUUUUCCUUGAUCAAAACCCAGCUCUCUAGUUUCUUUUUCCAGUUUUUUCCUCAGUCGACAUACUCGCUCUUUUUUCCGUCACCUCCCUCUUCUGAUUUUUUCCUUUGCCGUUUUUU